UACGUAGGGGGCAAGCGUUGUCCGGAUUUAUUGGGCGUAAAGAGCGUGUAGGCGGUCUGGUAGGUCCGUUGUGAAAACUCGAGGCUCAACCUCGAGACGCCGAUGGAAACCAUCAGACUAGAGUCCGGAAGAGGAGAGUGGAAUUCCUGGUGUAGCGGUGAAAUGCGCAGAUAUCGGGAAGAACACCCGUGGCGAAGGCGGCUCUCUGGGACGGUACUGACGCUGAGACGCGAAAGCGUGGGGAGCGAUCCGG
rnacentral:rRNA from 1 species